rnacentral:rRNA from 1 species
GCCUAUCAAUAAGCGGAGGAAAAGAAACCAACAGGGAUUGCCCUAGUAACGGCGAGUGAAGCGGCAACAGCUCAAAUUUGAAAUCUGGCUCUCGGGCCCGAGUUGUAAUUUGUAGAGGAUACUUUUGAUGCGGUGCCUUCCGAGUUCCCUGGAACGGGACGCCAUAGAGGGUGAGAGCCCCGUCUGGUUGGAUGCCAAAUCUCUGUAAAGUUCCUUCAACGAGUCGAGUAGUUUGGGAAUGCUGCUCUAAAUGGGAGGUAUAUGUCUUCUAAAGCUAAAUACCGGCCAGAGACCGAUAGCGCACAAGUAGAGUGAUCGAAAGAUGAAAAGCACUUUGAAAAGAGAGUUAAAAAGUACGUGAAAUUGUUGAAAGGGAAGCGUUUAUGACCAGACUUGGGCUUGGUUAAUCAUCUGGGGUUCUCCCCAGUGCACUUUUCCAGUCCAGGCCAGCAUCAGUUUUCCCCGGGGGAUAAAGGCGGCGGGAAUGUGGCUCUCUUCGGGGAGUGUUAUAGCCCACCGUGUAAUACCCUGGGGGGGACUGAGGUUCGCGCAUCUGCAAGGAUGCUGGCGUAAUGGUCAUCAACGACCCGUCUUGAAACACGGACCAAGGAGUCGUCUUCGUAUGCGAGUGUUCGGGUGUCAAACCCCUACGCGUAAUGAAAGUGAACGCAGGUGAGAGCUUCGGCGCAUCAUCGACCGAUCCUGAUGUUCUCGGAUGGAUUUGAGUAAGAGCAUACGGGGCCGGACCCGAAAGAAGGUGAACUAUGCCUGUAUAGGGUGAAGCCAGAGGAAACUCUGGUGGAGGCUCGCAGCGGUUCUGACGUGCAAAUCGAUCGUCAAAUAUGGGCAUGGGGGCGAAAGACUAAUCGAACCUUCUAGUAGCUGGUUUCCGCC